CAGGAAACUGGGGCGUAAUACCGGAUAGGAGCUCCUGCUGCAUGGUGGGGGUUGGAAAGUUUCGGCGGUUGGGGAUGGACUCGCGGCUUAUCAGCUUGUUGGUGGGGUAGUGGCUUACCAAGGCUUUGACGGGUAGCCGGCCUGAGAGGGUGACCGGCCACAUUGGGACUGAGAUACGGCCCAG
rnacentral:rRNA from 1 species